UACGGAGGGGGCGAGCGUUAUUCGGAAUUAUUGGGCGUAAAGGGCGCGUAGGCGGCCCGGUAAGUCAAAGGUGAAAUCCCUCGGCUCAACUGAGGAACUGCCUUUGAAACUGUCGGGCUUGAGGCCGGGAGGGGGUAGCGGAAUUCCCAGUGUAGCGGUGAAAUGCGUAGAUAUUGGGAGGAACACCGGUGGCGAAGGCGGCUACCUGGACCGGUUCUGACGCUGAUGCGCGAAAGCGUGGGUAGCAAACAGG
rnacentral:rRNA from 1 species